rnacentral:lncRNA from 1 species
GCUGGGAACAUGCAUGGUGCUUUCGGACAUUAGCCUUGUUCAACACAUUUCUCGUAUUGACAGAUCUAUAGUGUGCAUGGGCAGACACAUGCUGCCUCUGUGUCUCUUAAAAUUUUAAUUAAAAGUACUCUUUCCAGUAAUCCUAAUUUGCACGAAGAUAUAAUGUCCACAUUACGUGCCUUGCCUUGAAAUCUAAAAAAAAAAAACAAAAGACAAAAAAAAACCACAAAAGUGACAUCACUACACUUGUUUUGCUGCAUUUAUUAUCGUUUUAAAUCUUUACCAUUUUUAUGACAAAAUAUUUUGUACUCCAGACGAAGAAAAAUGUGUGACAUCAUGGAUUUUUUAGACAGUUACACCUUUAUCUCACAUUUAUAAAGCAUAUCAUGGCUGUGUAUAGUUGCCGCUUAAAAAUUGUAAUCGACCAGCAAUAUUUUCAGUAUUUUUGGUGUUUUUUCUAUUAACCUUUCAUGUUUUUCAUCUUCCAAUUAAUAUUUGGGGGGGAGGGGUUUCAAAUUUAUACGAAUUAUGCAAUACCAAGUUUUGCCUAUGUAGGUAGUGCUUUUAGCUGUAUUGGUUAUUAUAGGUAAGUACACAGAUUUAAAAAAGAAAUAAUGUAUGCUUUUUUUGUUUGUUUGUUUAUUUGUUUGUUUGUUUUAAUUGACCAAAGUGGGUACUGCUAUUUUUGCAGUGUGAUGAGGUCCUUUUGUGUACUGAGAGAUGGACAGGGGAUUUUUUUUAAUAUACAUAUAUAAAUAUAUAUAUAUUCAGGGGUGGGUGGGAGGAUUUUUAACCCUUUACAGUGUAGCAGUGAAGCACUGCACCCUGAGAUGGGCCUGGGCUGCAAAGCAACUGUUCUGCCUACUGUGACAAACUUCAACUUAAACAGGUUUCCCUCCCUCCACCCCUCCCCGUACUUUCCCACCUGGAGUGCAAGCUGAACUCCUUUCUGGUUUCCAAGCUAAGAAACCAGGAAGAAAAAGCAAGCACAGCAAAAGCCUCCUAGAGGCCAACUUAGAGGAACUGCCCUGUCUUAUUUUAGUUGUUAUUGAUAGUUUUUUGUUUCUUUUUUUUUUUUUUUCCUGAAAGUUCCUGAAACCACAGUGGAAAGUGAGCCUGUCUCAUAUUUGGCAAAGACAUUUCUUGAAGUGCCCACAUAGCAGAUGUUGGCUGUUUCACACUUUUGAGUUUAACACAGGAAUAAGCUUUCUUCUACCAAACACAUUCCCCCAUCUGGAGGGAGAGCUCCCCUAGUCCCUCCCCGCCCUCUGUCAUUUUGUUAAUGACAGGAUAGGCUGCUCCUGUGACUUACUACUUCAAAAUGAAUGGUGUUGCACCUAGGAUCUUCUUCUUUGACAUCCAGAAGGUUGACUAGAGAGAGGGUUGCUCUUCUUGGAUGUAUUUGGACUGAUAGAGUAAAAUCAAAGUUCAGUUUUUAAGGAACAAGAAUAAAUCAAUCCUCUUAUUUUACCUGCCCUUGUAAACUGGAAAGUGGAGCAGAGGGAAAUAUAGAAUUUUAAGCAACCAAUUUUUCUGUGGAUGAAUUAAGUGUGUUUGAUAAUGAUGGUGGGGGUUGAUUUGAACGGGUGGUACUUCAAGUAUAUAUUUGAGUUAAUUUCCCCUGAGGACUACAGGUGAAUAGAGACCAAUUUUAUUUUGUCUUUUCCCCAUCCCCCACCUGGUCCUAUUGAGUGUAUCCAUUGCUCCAAGGAGAUCUUUAGGAAUUAGUGACAUACGCAGUCGGCUGUAAAGAAGCUCUCUUGACCCCACCCCCAGCCCCACCCCAGGCCCUGCCCUAGUAAAUAAACUGUCAAGUGUAUGCAUAGCAGAUCAUUUAAUAGUGAGUUCAUGAGAACGAUGCUCAGAAGCCCGGGAAUUAAAUCUGACUAGUCCAUUCAUGACCACAUGCUGGUUAGCACAGUGGGAUUCUAGGAUGCAGGUUCUAAGAAAGGCCAGCCUUGUCUGUUACUUGCUUUGCAGAUAACACAUCCUCUCAGCCAAGCUCAUAGUGUCUUUCUGACCUAUUUGCUGAAGAGUGCAACCCUACAGGACACAGUAUUCUUUCCAGGCAGUCCCCUCUCCUUGUCACCCGUGAAUGAACAAUUGUUGCUAAAGUACAUGGCACACUGUGGGCAUCCCUGCCUGCCUCUUGGGUACAGAGGCCUAGGGCAACUGUUCCUUUUUUUUUUUUUUUUUUAACCUAGUUCAAUGUUUCUUCUUUUCUUUGAGAUAAACUUAUUAAAAAAGCACUACUAUAGAAAAUCUCGAAUCCACGUUUAGCCUUCUAUUUUUUUUUAAAACCAGGAAGUAUAUUCUGACGAAGGGCCCCACUUUUGCAGGUCUUGCACGCCCCUUCCUUACCCAGACUGCAGAGCUUCAGGAUGGUGAAGGUCACCCAAGGGCAUCUGUUAGGAGGUGGUGUCUCCCACCACCAGCUCAUGGCACUGUCCAACCUUUGUUGUAUUGCUUUGCAGCCCACCACUCACAGUGCCUCUAAAGUGUGUGUUUCCCGAAGUGACGUGAGCAGUCGAGACUUGCCUAAGGGGGGAAAAAAAACCUGAGAGGCAGUGAAGGAGACUGUACAUAAAGACAUGGCAAAACCUUAAGUAUAGCAAUAUAGUUAUCGGGUAAUUUUCGGGUGGGCAGCUCCAUUAUAAAGUAUGUGAAUGAGUCUGUGAAGCUGCGAGGAGAGAGAAGAGCUUGGCCUUCUUAAUGAACCGCCUACCUUGUAGACAGUAAUUUGUACACUGUAUAGUUUUGUUAAGAAUUUUUUUUUAAAUUAAAAUUCCCAUGUUUGUAAAGCUAACUUUUUAACAAUUAUAAUGGAACUAUAUGUUGUUUCCAUUUUUAAAGUAAACAAGAAUAUUCCUUGUUUAGAGACUGGACUCGAGUUAAAACUCUCCAGGCUCUUAAGUUAUGUAUUAAAAAAAAAAAAUCUGUCCAUGUUAGGAGAUAUUUCACAGGUUCUUGUGCUUGAAAAGCAUAGGACGCUAAUCCUUAAAAAAAAGUGUAAAUGGAGAAAAGUUAUAUUUUAUGAAGGUUAUUUUGUUGUAUUUAGUAUUGGAAGAGUUGGUUUUCAGAGCAUUUCAGAAUGUUGGAAGCACCGCUGUCCUUUUGUUAGUAUAUAAGGCCUUUUAGCAAAGGUUUUCUCCUUUUUUUUCCUUUUUAUUUUGUGAUUAUUCCAUGAUGGUAUUUAAGGAUAAGUUUCACAGAGCAUUCAGGAUAGGCAGAAAAAAUAAUAGUGCGAUGUCUCACAUAACGUGUCCUCAGGGAGCAGAAUCCGGAUUUGUGACUUGUAGCUUCAAAAGGACUCAAGGGCAGAGACUGCACGGGAACACCUUGAGCAGCGAAGCAGGGCAUGUUCUCUACCUAGACGCAGAUUCUAUGUACCGUGUGAAACGAUGAAGGCUGCAGAAAGUUACCCCCUAUCAGUGAACAGUAUUCCUUCUCCAUGAAACAACGCUACAGUCUUGCUGGCAGAUAGGCCCCAAGCAUGGCAUUCAAUAUCGCUUACAUGUUCCUGUCAAGGUCUUUUGUUCACAUUAACCAGCUGCAUGCUUCCUGGACUUUAAAAAUUGGGGUUUCUAUAUUUAAAAAACAAAACAUAUGUGCAGGCUAUUCAAGUUCAAUAGUAAAAACUCAAAAUUGAAUGUUCUACUCCAUGCUGAAGGAGCUGAAAACUGCCUUCUUCAUGUUUUGCACUUUCUAGUAGUUGCCCUGUCUUUUCUAAUUCCUGGAAAUUGUGUGGGUGGAGUGGAUCCCUGCACUGGGGGGAAUAACAUGGACCACUGAUUUUGCCCUUUGACCCUGCACAAUGACCUUUGCAUCAGCCAAACUCAUUGCCAUGACAACUCUUUGUACUGUGUCGUGCCACAGAUCUGUUGGUCACAUUGUUAAUAGUAAAGGGGACAAGUUGGAGACGGUCAAUUUUUACAUUUUUUUUUGUUGCAAUUUUUCUUCAAUGGUUGUAAGUAGUUUUGUUUUUUUUUUUUAAUGAUAAAAGGGUUCAGUAGUUAAUACUCUUUAGAAAUAUCUGUGUGUUGCAAUUCAAAUGUAUGUUGAGAUUGUGAAAGCGCUUCAGUGGCACUAGCCUACGGGACCCUAGAUUAAGCCUUUGAUAACUUUUAUUGCAUGAUACAGUACCAGUAACAAAAGGUGGCCUAAACAUGAAAAGCAGUGUAUGCUAGUGUCACUCAAGCCAGUCUUGUAUUACUGUAUUUUUGACAGAAUGGUUUUGAAAACUGUGCUACAGGGACUGAUGUGGCAAAUAUAUCUCUUUAUGCAGAAGGAAGUCUUUUUUUUUUUAAGAAAAAAAAAAGAAGUAUGGCUUAUUAUGCAUUCUUCAUCGAGGGCAUUGAAGUUGCAUGGACUGAUAAAAGUUGAUGCAAAAUGAGAAAGAAACAAAAAGACAAAAACAAACAAAAAAAAAACAAAAAACAAAAAAACCAGCAAAAUGUUUACC